CAGUCUAUCUGGGGGACUAAUGUUUCUCUGGGCGUCGCAGUGCGCGGAUCGGAGUGACCCGUUGCAGCUGUCUCUGGCGGCAGCUCCGAAACUGGCUAUAGCCCAGUGGGUGGCAGGGUGGUUUACACCGUGGCAAAUGCAUUCCUAAUGGGGCAGCCGCUGCCGGCGCGGCCAGAGCGGGAGGAGCUGGUGUAAUGAGAGAAAUUGUUCUCUGCCACCGGGUCUGGCGGAGUUCACCCGUAAAUGAAGCUUUGCUGCUUCUCACACAGGAGGCAUUUAUUUGGUUUCGAUUCCUAGAAGCUGAUGAGGAGGCGGGGCUGACCCAAGGAAAAAGUUGGCCAGGAGUCCUGCGAGGAAUGCGGUGAUGGUUGGCACGCUCGGGAUUCGAGCCCACCUCCUGCCCCGAAGAUCUGCUGAAACUGCGAGUUCCAUCUGACGAGGCGGCAGGAUAAUGGUGAAGUGUGGAAAAUGAACAAAGGGGCCAGCUGUGCAUCUAACUUUGCAGUUGUCAGAGCAAGUUGAACACGGAGAGGAUGGAGUUGACGACACAUGAGAACAGGUUCAAGAGCAGGUCUGAGUCGCAGCUGAGAACGGGGCUGAGGGAGGCGGCAGCAUCACUACAACCAGCAACUGGGAUCCCCCUGCGUAGAUGCUGGUGUAUAUCCACGUAGAUCUCCACAUCGACCCUUGCCUAUGCAGGUAUACGCACAAGUGUAUCGGGGUGUUAACUGGAAUCUCACUAUGCGUCAGAAGUCUAGAUCACCUGCCUGAGAAAGUUGGCUACCAUCCCACAAACGAGCCCCAGAGCUCAUUUCUAGAUUACGGAAAAUCGAGCACAAGGAUAAUGUGUGCAGGGCACCGUGUUCCUGGAACCGUCCAAAUUUUACUCAAUGGAAGGUUCACUCUGACAACGCCAUGUCGCCUAGAAAGCCCUCCCCACUUGCGCUGUCUCGGUGAACUUACCCUCCACGCCUCCUUUGCCGACGGCCCCCUGGAGGGCUGCUUGCUCCCCACCCGUCGGCUAGAGGUCUGGCCCGUUCUUGAUAAGCUCUUGCUCGUGUCUCCUCUCCCCACCGAGUUUGGAAGCUCCCGGGCAGGGACCACUGUGGUCCUGCUGCGCCAUGUUAGGUCCCCUGCGAAGCCCUAUUGGCUAAUCAGAAUAGUGGCCCCACCUGGACAUCAAUAUCUCUGAAUCAAACCCAUUUCCUAGGUCCCUGUUCAUCUUGUCAGUAGGAUAAGACUGUCGUUGGAAUCAUCUUGUCUAGUCAUGGAAGGGCUAACAGCGCUCCUGCUCAUCAGCCUGUGCUCUGGUUUAGCUGGCUUUUUUUCUUUAUUCUUUUUUUUUUUAUUUUUCACAACAAGGCCUUCUCGAGGAAGGGGGCAGGGCAUUGAUGGAUAUUCUAGCGCAAGCUCCUUAUCUUGCGCUAGUCUGAUGGGUACACUUCGAGGUGCACUGACCAAGAACAUGCAGUCUUCACUGUCUUCAUUUGACAGACGCAGGCUUAGAGGUUGAGAGAGAAGAAGGAGCCCGUCCGAGGUUUCACAGCAAGAGACAGAGCUGCAGUUGGUGGCUGGGCCUCCUGACGCGGAGGUCUAGGACAACAACAAAAUAGCAGCGUGGAACUGUCUGUGGCUCUCACACACGGUCACAGAGCACCCGUGGAGUGAGGCCGGCAAUCAGACGUGGCAGGAUUCGGUCUCUGCCCACGAAGAAACGGGAGCUCGGGGAGGACAAAGCCUUGGCCUCAGGCAUCGAGGAGGAGGAUGCUGUCAAAAGAGGGGACACUAGGCUGUCCCUGCCCCAGCUCCGCACCUGUCCCAACAUACCCAGCUUCAGGUGACGUAACGUGGUCCUUCCUGCUCCAGCAAACGGCCAAGAAGUGUGGGGACAGGCUGAAUGUCUUUCCAGGCAUUGUUAAAGAUUGACGGCAGGUGGGAAGAUCCAAGUGCUACGUUCCAGAAAAGUCUCAGCCGUGGCAAUGCUCCAGGUUCUUGGCGGCACCUUCUGUAAUGGAGCUUAAUCUCAGUGAGGUCUCACGCCCGUGUGUUGUAUGAGUGAGCCCUGCUAGUUGUCUCAAACCCCCUUUGGAACACAGCAUGGUGAAGAUAAAUACGGAGCUCACAAUUUAAUCUCAGCACGUGCUAGCAGCAAGCACGGCGUCUGACACGAAGUGCUUUGUAAAUGGUGGCCCUCAAGCAAAUGGUAGGUAUUUUCUUAUUUUCUGAGCCUGAAACAACCAGUGUUUGACAUUUUCCAAUUAAAAGUACGGGCCUGGAUACUUGCCCUUUAAAAAUGUAACACCACCCAUAAAAAUCUCAGUUUUUUCAUUUUCAUUUUUUAAGAACACAAAUUAGGCCAAUUAAAUCAUUUAAAUGACAUUUUUUUUUUCUUUUGAGCAAAGUGAGCCAUGCACAGGAACCAAUAGGUCCCUCACAAAGAUUUGCUUUUUCCCCUGGAGCAGACACCCAUGGAAGGGACAGCCACACAGAAAUCCUUUUGCAGGUUUUACAACCCUGGCUUGGCCCAACGUUCACGGGCCUCGCAUAAACCUCUCGUUGCACGUGGUGAACCCGUGAACACUUUCUUUCUACUCCAGCUUCCCAUCUGGAUGCUAGUGCGCAGCGGGCCGGGGAUGGGGUUUGUGGCCUCGGGGUCUCCUCGGGCCCAGGGAUGCCUAAUGGGGCCUUGUUGGGUACACUGAAGGGAGCUGACCUGGCCGAUGGGCCUAGACAUCCUGUCGUUUUCCAGAGAAGUGAGGAAGCCUGUGGAAUGAAGUCUGGGCUUUCCGGAAGGACCCUAGUCUGAGUGUAGAGAAGAAUGGGGAAAACCUCUGUUUUCUUGAUGUCUGGUUUUUCUGAUUUAAGUGUCCAGCAAAUAUGAUUGCUCUAAGAGUCUGUCUUUGAUGUCCAGUUGGGGUUGCAGCCAAAAGCUGACAAUUCCAUGGGGGAAAAUCCCUAUUCUAAUUCGAACAUUGCUUUGCAAACUCAACUCACAAGUUUUCAAAAAGAUUUCAAGGUCCACUGCCUCUGGGAUGAAGCUGAAACUCCUGGGCUGGCCCUGGGUGGAGCCGGAGAGCCAGGUCCGUGGAAGUGACUGGAACUUGGUCCUGACAUGACUGGUUCCUUCCUAGUUGGGCCUGAUUUCCUCCUUUCUGAGAUGGUGUGAUGAUAGCAUAUAAACCCUUCAGGUCUUUGUGAAGAUUGAAGGAGGUCAUGACUAAAAUGUCAGACCUCCCCAAACUCUGAAGACCUCGCUCUCUCUACCUCCUAUUUUGCCUUUCCUCUUGAUUUGUUAGGUACACUCAGAGGCAGGCGUUGGCAGAGGUAUGUUGAGGUUCUAGUCUUCAACGAGCUCAUACCUGGUGGGAUGCACAGCCAAGGAGACUGAUAAUGAGGUGGCACCGGUGUGUUUAUUGGCUCAGAGAGGGAAGAUGUGGUUCUGGCAGUUUCUGCUAUCCCUCAGGGUCCAGGGAACACCUUCCCCAGCUUCAUGCAUCCAGCCAUCUUUAUAUUCAUUGCUCCUCUUGCCAGGAGUGCCCUUCGUUCGGUGUUGGGGGCGGGGGGAGAGGGUGUGCACAACGGAAGGGAGACACAAUUGGUUCUGUUCCCUGGCCCCGUAAGGGCUCAUGGCCUCCAAGGAGAACUCCAAGGAGAUACAGGCAGCCGCUGGUCUGCUCCCAGGCGACCAUCUGUGAGGGAAGCCCUAAGAGGAAGAACAUGGCUAUUGUUCAAAGAUGGGACAAGGGGCUCUGUAGGUGACAACCUGCAGCUCCAGCUCAGAAGAGACAGGUAGGCAGGAGAGUUAUUCCCAUAUGUGGGUCACGUCACAGUCAAGUUGUCAGAAGGGAAGAAGAUGAACUUGAGUUUGUCUAGAGAAAGAACAUUCAAACAGGAUAGGGCCAUCUGAAGACUCAACCUCUCCCUUGGGUCCUCAAAAGGACCCAGGAGUGGCUAUUUGGGCGUUGGGCUGGCAGGGGUCCUCAGUGGUGGGAGCAGUGGCCGAGAAUCGAAGGACCUCCGUCCACCCAACUCGCGGAGUCUUGGAGGGCAGGCAUGUCAGCCCGGCAGGCCCUGUCUUAUCAAGUACCCCCGUCCCCCAUCUCUCCUUGAGCACAAAAGCCUGUUGUCUGGGUAGCUCAGAGAGUGGGCACAGACCAUCCUCUCUUCUCUGUGUCAUUAAUGUAAUCUAUUUGAUCUUGAGGGUGGUUUUGUUUCAGUUUCUCAAGGGAGUGGGGGGGCGAGGAGGGAAGAAGGCCUUUCUUCGGACUUUGAAGACUAGAAACACUUAAACGUGAGAGUUAAGCCGAGGACGAAACCCAUCUUGGUCCUCUUUUCCUGGUCAGAAAAGAGCUAAUCCUUAAUAUUUCUUGGAGAGUCACCUCUUCUUUGGAAUCAAAGUGUUUUUCUUAUCAUCGUUGCUAACAAUAGUACAAGGUUUUUUACAUUUAUUUAUGCACUUCUUGCAUCUUAUUUAUUUAUUUAUUUGUUUAUUUUCAGAGUGGGGUAGGCAGAGGGAGAGAGAGAAUCUCAAGCAGAUUCCUUGCUGAGUGCAGAGCCCGAUUCGGGACUCGAUCCCACGACCCUGAGAUCAUGACCUGAGCUGGUAUCAAGGGUCGGAUGCUCGACCGACUGAGCCACCUGGGUGCCUCCAUCUUGCCUCUUUUUCAAAAGGCUUUUGACAUACCAGUAAAAUAGGUUUACGGUGAAUAAAGGAAUCAUGACUAAGAGAAAACAAAAAUAGAGAAAAGAUGGUAGCAAAGAAAAGGUAAGAAGACAAAAUUUCCCCUCCAGAGGCCUGGGCAGUAGCUAGAUGUGGCCACGACUCAAUUCUGAGCUCCCUGGUAACCACAGUAAUGAGGGAAACACUCGUAUCCAUGGUUCGUGGUAUCAACAAGAAACAGAGCUGCCUCCAUAACGACAGACUCUGGAUGAUGUAUGAAGAAUAGUAUCAGGAAAAUUCUCUAAAAGAUCUAGCUAUUAGGAGAUAUGACCCUUUGGGAACUCUCAAAUUCAUAAAUAUCUUUAGGGCAGCAUUUCCUGAAUUGUGUUCUGUGAAACGCUGAUUCUGGAGACAUCAAGAGGUGGUUCCUCAGAAUCAGAUGCUGUGGCCAGAUAAACAGAGUUAGUGUUCACAUGUAUGUCCCUCUUGGAGAUUUGCAAAGCAUCCAUUCUCCUGAGGACUUGAGGAGUCGCAGCAGAAGAAACCUGGUAAAUUUGGUUUAAAUAAUUAUUUCCCUAAGUUUUUUGGCCACAGAACCAGUAUUUGGGGGAAUCCCUGAACUCAUGAAGCCGGACUGGUUUUCCUGGACCUUUGUGGGAACUGGAGUCUGCAGAAGCAUUUUCCACAAAGAAAGCCAGGUUCUAUCUCUUUAGGAGAGUCACUGUGUACAUGGGAUUCCAUUGACCUUUCCCCCUUCUGCCCCUCGUGCGCAGACUGAGUUCUUCCCUCAGCAGGGGCAUCUGGCCCCAGCUCCUACUCGUACCUGGUGGGGGCGGCCCAGGGAGCUGAGGCCUUGGGGGGCCUUCAGAGUUAAGCAUCUACAAUACGAACAAAACUUUUGUGGCCAAAAGGGACUCUUCCCGUUGCAUCAUAAUGUCUCUGCCAACAAAUCGCAGUCUCUCUUUUACCAAAGAUUCCCCAGGACCCCCGGGGUGCGGUGAGAGAAAGAAGGGCAGUGGGUGGGAGAAUGCUGUCUUGCCACAUCAGUGCAGCAAGAUUAAUACGUGGUACAUAUCUGUGGGACCUCAGGGAGGGGACUGAAGGCUGGCAGUUUCCGGUAGGCUUCUUGGAGGAAGUGACACUUUAACAAAGAUUUAAGAGAUUGGCAGGAGUUAUAUGCAGGGGAAGGCAUGGGGUCGCAUUUGGGCCUGGCGGGAACAAAUGGUCAGAAUUGGCUUUGGGUAGAACAAAUGGCAGAAGAGGCAGCUGGUAAAGAGCAAGAGACAGCGGGCCUGGCUGACGAGUUUGGGUUCCUUGUCCAGGGAGCCGAGGGGAGGCAUCGAGGACCCCCGGCGGGGAUGGCAGGGCUUUCCUACUAGAAAGAGCCUCGUAGCACUGACGCGCGAUGACCGGAAGGACACAUAGGGACUAGGAGGCUGGGGCCAGGCUCCCGAGCCACCCGCCCCGGGCGGUGGCUGCAGGAGAGGGCUAGAACUCCUGCCUCUACUCUUG